UACGUAGGGUGCGAGCGUUGUCCGGAAUUAUUGGGCGUAAAGGGCUUGUAGGCGGUCUGUCACGUCGGGAGUGAAAACUCAGGGCUUAACCCUGAGCCUGCUUCCGAUACGGGCAGACUAGAGGUAUGCAGGGGAGAACGGAAUUCCUGGUGUAGCGGUGAAAUGCGCAGAUAUCAGGAGGAACACCGGUGGCGAAGGCGGUUCUCUGGGCAUUACCUGACGCUGAGGAGCGAAAGUGUGGGGAGCGAACAGG
rnacentral:rRNA from 1 species